rnacentral:lncRNA from 1 species
AACAUCAAUUGGUAGUAAGUUUUGCGAAAUGCACAAAAACCCAUGCAUAUGCACUCUUCAAAAAUCCUGCUACUUCUCAUUAGUCCAACAAACAUCCAAUCAGAUUGGCUCUAUGUUAGUCACAAUAAUACACUCCAAUGGUGGCAACUCAUCCUUGCACCUUACAUUGCACUGUUUCUCCUUCCUAUUCAACUGCCUCUUAGUCUUCUUAAUCGCUAUUGUAUUUUAACACAAGCAAGCACUCACAACUAAUCUCUCAAAACACACAUACACAGCUGCUUAUAUAAAAGAAAACACGAUGUUUGUCAAGAGCCCCCCUCCUACUUCUUAUUAUAAUCCAAUCAAUUGAGUUGACUCCCCUUUAUUUCUCACGAUUCGUCAUGAUGAAACAUCCUAUUAACUAGAUUUGA